GAGUUUGAUCAUGGCUCAGAUUGAACGCUGGCGGCAUGCCUUACACAUGCAAGUCGAACGGCAGCACGGGGGCAACCCUGGUGGCGAGUGGCGAACGGGUGAGUAAUACAUCGGAACGUGUCCUGUAGUGGGGGAUAGCCCGGCGAAAGCCGGAUUAAUACCGCAUACGCUCUACGGAGGAAAGGGGGGGAUCUUCGGACCUCCCGCUACAGGGGCGGCCGAUGGCAGAUUAGCUAGUUGGUGGGGUAAAGGCCUACCAAGGCGACGAUCUGUAGCUGGUCUGAGAGGACGACCAGCCACACUGGGACUGAGACACGGCCCAGACUCCUACGGGAGGCAGCAGUGGGGAAUUUUGGACAAUGGGCGCAAGCCUGAUCCAGCAAUGCCGCGUGUGUGAAGAGGGCCUUCGGGUUGUAAAGCACUUUUGUCCGGAAAGAAAACGCACUGGCUAAUACCCGGGGCGGAUGACGGUACCGGAAGAAUAAGCACCGGCUAACUACGUGCCAGCAGCCGCGGUAAUACG
rnacentral:rRNA from 1 species